rnacentral:piRNA from 1 species
UUCAUAGAGAAACUUCAGGAAGAAGGGCUG